AUGGACCACGCGUCCACUGUGGUUCUGAGCGCGCCGUCCGCGCCCACCUGACAGCUGCUCGCUACGUUGUGUUAGCC
rnacentral:sRNA from 1 species